rnacentral:rRNA from 1 species
ACUACGGGCGGCUGCAGUGGGGAAUAUUGGGCAAUGGGCGCAAGCCUGACCCAGCAACGCCGCGUGAAGGAAGAAGGCUUUCGGGUUGUAAACUUCUUUUGUCAGGGACGAAGCAAGUGACGGUACCUGACAAAUAAGCCACGGCUAACUACGUGCCAGCAGCCGCGGUAAUACGUAGGUGGCAAGCGUUAACCGGAUUUACUGGGUGUAAAGGGCGUGUAGGCGGGACUGCAAGUCAGAUGUGAAAACCACGGGCUCAACCUGUGGCCUGCAUUUGAAACUGUAGUUCUUGAGUACUGGAGAGGCAGACGGAAUUCCUAGUGUAGCGGUGAAAUGCGUAGAUAUUAGGAGGAACACCAGUGGCGAAGGCGGUCUGCUGGACAGCAACUGACGCUGAGGCGCGAAAGCGUGGGGAGCAAACAGGAUUAGAUACCCGGGUAGUC